rnacentral:snRNA from 1 species
AGAUGUGAGAGGCAUCUGUGAUACCUGCCACCCCAUUAAUCACUAGAAUGGAUUCAGCUGAUCUUGCUGACUAGGUGGGUGUUCCCCUUCCUCUGUCAGCACUCCCUGGGUGUCCCUCCCAAAGCAGCACACUCAGUUGAAAAGGAUGACCUUCCCUGAGGGGGGACUGGUCUUCAGUCAAGGGUAUAUUAGUAGCUAUGGGCCUCGGCUAGAAUCUCAGACAAGCUCUCAAGCAUCUGCUAAGAUUGAACAGGAGAGCAAAUGGAUCGAAGGAACUUUACAGGUAAGAGUAACAU